CUACGAGAUGCUCCAGUGGGGAAUAUUGGACAAUGGGGGAAACCCUGAUCCAGCAAUGCCGCGUGUGUGAAGAAGGCCUGCGGGUUGUAAAGCACUUUCGGUUGGGAGGACUGCUUCUAGCACUAAUAUUGUUGGAAGUUGACGUUACCUUCAGAAGAAGCACCGGCUAACUCCGUGCCAGCAGCCGCGGUAAUACGGAGGGUGCAUGCGUUAAUCGGAAUUACUGGGCGUAAAGCGCGCGUAGGCGGCUAGAUCAGUCGGGUGUGAAAGCCCCGGGCUUAACCUGGGAACUGCAUCCGAUACUGUCUAGCUUGAGUACAGGAGGGGAGAGUGGAAUUCCACAUGUAGCGGUGAAAUGCGUAGAUAUGUGGAGGAACACCAAUGGCGAAGGCAGCUCUCUGGCCUGAUACUGACGCUGAGGUGCGAAAGCGUGGGGAGCAAACAGGAUUAGAUACCCCCGUAGUC
rnacentral:rRNA from 1 species